UUAACACAUUAACCAUUGCUUGUUAAUAAUUUAGUUUGCCAACAUUUGGUGUUACCUUUUCAUUUAGGUUUUUGGUUAAAUUGUUGUUUUCUGUUCUAUUAGGCAGAGUUGGUUGUUUUAUUUUUAACUGCUAUUGAUUGAUAGUGAAAGGUUUAAUGUUUAGUUGAAACAAUAAGCCAAGUUUACAGUUGAUUGUAUUUCAAUAGUUAUUCAAGUCGCAUAUUUGUUCACUUUCAAUUAAUUAUCUGAUUUAAGCAGAAGAAAUUGAAUUUAAUAACAAAUGAUUUUAGAUAUAAAAAUAAUGAUUAUAAAUGACAAUUUAAUUGCGCCAAUGGUUGGGAAUACGAAAAGGUGAGGAAAUUGUAAAUUUUAAAUUAACCUCCAAAAGUAGAAACCAAAGUGUUACUAAGACGCCAUUAAUGUAAUUGUUACAAGCUUGAUAUCCUUUAUGUUUCAACUUGUGAUUUUAGUUGUUUUUUGUUAACUGAUUUUCAAAAUUCUGAACAUGAUUUUGAUUAGAAUUUCCUUUUUCUUUCUAAAAACCAUUAUAAAUAUAACUGAGUGGUUAGUAGUGAAAUAAAGGAAAGCUGAAAGAUACGAUUAAAUAAAUCGGGUUUUGUUUUGGUUACAAGAUUUGGAGGGAAACGGUUCAAGUGGCAAAGAUUGAUCAAGGUUGUGGUAACCAUUGCAAAGGACAAACCAAUAUCCAUCAAGAAUCAUAAUUGAACCAUUUGGAUUAAACCAGAUCUCAAGGAAUCAAUAAGAUUCAGAUAAAUGGAAGUCAGAUAUGUCAAAAUGGAUCUAAUGUGUGUUGCCUUAAGCUUGAGGAAAUGGCCAAGAUGAGUUGGAUAUGUAAAUGGUUAAGCUUCUUGAUUUGCUGGUAAACAUUGAAACGUUGUCUUGAUGAAGUAUUGUCAUCACCAAUACCAUCAUCAACAAUAAAACACCAUCUUGAUGAUUGUUAUUAUAUCAUCUUGUUAAGGUUAAAUUGUUGAAAGGUAAAAUUGAAUAGUCAUUAAUGAUGAACUUACAUUUUUGCUCUAGUUUGAUUGAUAACAGGAAAAUAAUUUGGGACAUUAUUUUGAUAAAAAAGUGCUCAGAAUAGAUAAUAACAUGAGCUUGUUCAAGUUGAGUUGGAGUUUUCAUGACAAGAUGAAGAUGAUGAUAGGGAUGGUGAAGAUGAUAAGUUGAAGUGUAAUUGAUUUUUGAUUUUGACACAAAAAAUGCAAUGUUAAAAGAGAGACAGACAGUAAAUACAAUUUCGUGUGUGUGUGUGUGUGUGCAACAAAAAGAGUCAACAAUAAUCAAUUGAGUCAAUGGUGAUGAUGUUCAAAAGCAAUUUGCAAGUUGCAUUGAUUUAUAAUUUAAUAUAAAUUGACAUCAAUUGACAAAAUAAAUUUUGAUUCACUCCUCCUUAAUCAUCAUCAAACUCACCAUGUUUCAAUCAAAAUCAAAAUCAUAAGCGAAACAUUUCAACUCUUUUCUUCUACAAGAUACAUUGUUUUCUCUAAUAACUUUUUCCUUUUUCCAUUUCAAUUUUUUUUCUUCUUUAAAACUCAUCAUUUCGAUCCUCUACUCUUUCCCUAUCAUCACCAUCAUCAUCACAUUUAUCAUGAAAAAAGGCAACCAUAAGCCCAACAGCGUUCAACUCCAACUGUGAAAAGCUUAAGAAAUAGAUCAAUAAGCUUUGAUUCUCUUCAUUUUUCUACUCAUCAUCUUUAACAUUAUUUUUACUCUCUUAUUUCAUGAUGCUCCUGGUAAUUCUGCUGAUGCUAAACCCAUUAUUAACGUUGUCUUGUUAAUAAACUUCUUGAUGUUAAAAGUCGUCUAUUAUCAAAUGAAAAAUUUUUAUUCCUCAAUAUCAGAAUCUUUAAUACAAAAAUAGUCUUCUUCUUACAAAGUGAAAUACAGUUAUCUUCAACUUUUCAUAAAAAUAUCAUCAUUUGGUAUUAUUGGUUGUCUCCAAUCAUCAGUCCCUCAGAUCCUGAAUAGACAUGAAAAUAAUGUUCCAUAUUCUGGUUAUCAUUCGGAAUAAUAUUUACAUUUCGCUUUUUUUACAGUCAGCUCAUUAUUUGUAACAAUCUAAACAUCAACAUAAUGUUUAUCUCAUCAAUUUUCAUCCAUUGUAGUUCAGUAAUUUUAUUUUCAUUAUGAUAGAUACACAAUUGAAGUAAACCAUUUCCUUUGCAACCCAAAAUUAUUGGGUUAAUUUCAGGUUUACUUAGUUUCUCUACUUUUACCAGUUUUUUUGCCUUCUUUUCCUGGUAAUACGAUCCUAAUUAAAUUAAAGGUUGUUAGGUGUUAACAAUGUUAGACCACAAUUGAUAAAAUGGUUAAUACUACAGUAACUAUUACAGAAUGAUUGUCUCAGCAACUGUAACUCAACCAAAAAAACAACAAUAAUCAGAUUGACAAUCAAUUGCUGUUCAUUUGUCUGGUUCAAAUGGGUUAAUUUCAUCUGUUGAAAAUCUUAAAUCAAUAACUAUCGUCUCAACAGAUUUAAAUUGAAGUUGCUUUUGAUGAUUAAAAAAACUGAUUAAUUUAUACUCAUUUGACGUUGGAUCAAGAAAUAGGAUCAAUCAGAUGUGAUGAAGUGGCAAACAUGAAUAAAGAUUAAUGAGAAAAAAGUAAAAUGUUGUCACAAAAUGGAUAAUCUUAAUUAAAAUGAAUCACUUUUAUAAUCUUUCUGGUUCUUUACUUUGUUGUUAGAAACCAAGAAUUGAUCAUGAUUAUCAACGAUUCAACAAAUCAUCAUUAAAAUGUCCAGAGAGUUAAAUGUAUUGAAAAACAAAAAAUACACCAAAAAUCACCAGACAUCUUUUUCAAUCAUUUUGUAACAUUGGACUAAAAUAUCAAACAUUAAUCAACUGACUGAUUGAAACCAUCAUCAUAAUCAUCAACUAACAUUGAAACUAGCAUUAUUAUAACCAUCAACUUUAUGACCAGCUUGAUCAUCAACAUUGUUAACUGUAUUGAUUACAGGACAACGUGAGAAGUUAAUCAUUUUAUGAUGGAUUGAUGAUUAUUUUUACCAUGAUUUAGGAAUCAAUUUUAGAUUACUCUGAGUUAUUGACAAAGUCUAUUUACUAAUAACUACAAUUUACCCUCAGAAGUGAUGAUUAAAUGAGAAAAUGGAAAAAAACUGGAAAAUAUUUAACGUUUUAUUUUGCAUAUUGUUUUGCUUCUCUAUUAAAUUGUUGUUUAUCCCCUGAUGGUGAUAAAAUUAAGGCAUUAUACAAGUGAUAACAGUUAUUAGAUGUUGAUUUGACUAUUUGUUAGUGAUUAAUUAACUCUUACCUUUCUGGAACAAUUGUUGUUUCAUCAAGUCAUACUGUUUAGGUUCACAAUCAUCGAUCGGAGAUGAUUCUAUGUUGUUAUUAUCCUCAUUGGGAUCACAUUGAUCUGGAUGGACUGGUCUCAAUUGAAUCCCUUUUUCACAUGAUAUUUUCCUAAUUAACAGACAAAUGCAGAUAAAUAAUCAAAUUAUCAGCCAAACAUUUAUUUCCAAUUUGCAUUCGUUAAAUUAAUGGCUGUUUUUAUCAGCAUUAAAGUUAAUUUAAUGAUUUGCUGAUCAAAAGAUCCUCCAGUAUUGAAUUUUUUAGCCUCCCCAAUAUACUCACUGCACUUUAUCAAUUGUCCCUCACAUUGCAAGUUAACGGCUUAUACUUUUUCAAUUUGUUUCCUUCUAAUUAUUAAUUAAAUUGCAUUUUCCUUGUUAAUUGUUGAUUCUCUAUUGAUUAUGUUGUCUAUUUUUAUUAAAAUGUUAUUUCAACGAUUAUCAGAUUCAAAUUGAACAUGAUUGUUUUUACUGUAACCUUUAAAAUAAUUAAAAGAGGAGAUAUAAAAUUACCAGCCUACCAGAAAGAAACUGAUGCAGAACUAAUUAAACAAUCAUUUAAUUUGUUUGAGUGAAAAAAAGACUGAUGGCAAAAAUGAUUGUUUUCUGCUAAUUAGCUGCUAAUUUGAAACAAGAAAAUUUAAUUUAAAUUAACAAUAUUUAUGGAUGGAUUGAUGUAAUAUUUUGUUGCCACCAAUAUUAAUUGCUCUCAUUCCUGAAUCAAUGAACAAAUGCAAAUUGGAUCGAGCUAAAGCUUCGUAAAAAUGAUGACUUACCUCAGAUGGCAAUGUGAAUCAUAUAAUUUACCAUCGGAUCCGCAAAUUUUGUGUUUAUGGACUGGACAUUUUUUGG